rnacentral:rRNA from 1 species
UACGAAAGGAGCAGGUGUUAUUCAGAUUAACUGGGCGUAAAGGGCACGUAGGUGGUUUGUUUAUGUGUAUUAUUAAAUUGUAAAGCAUAACUUUAUAACGUAUUACAGACAACAAAACUAGAGUUAGGUAGAGGGUAGUAGAAUUUCUAAUGUAAAGGUGAAAUUUGAUAAAAUUAGAGAGAAUACCAAUGGCGUAAGCAACUAUCUGGUCCUUAAC